rnacentral:rRNA from 1 species
GAUGAACGCUGGCGGCGUGCUUAACACAUGCAAGUCGAACGAUGAAGCUCAGCUUGCUGGGUGGAUUAGUGGCGAACGGGUGAGUAACACGUGAGUAACCUGCCCUUAACUCUGGGAUAAGCCUGGGAAACUAGGUCUAAUACCGGAUAGGAGCGCCUACCGCAUGGUGGGUGUUGGAAAGAUUUAUCGGUUUUGGAUGGACUCGCGGCCUAUCAGCUUGUUGGUGAGGUAAUGGCUCACCAAGGCGACGACGGGUAGCCGGCCUGAGAGGGUGACCGGCCACACUGGGACUGAGACACGGCCCAGACUCCUACGGGAGGCAGCAGUGGGGAAUAUUGCACAAUGGGCGAAAGCCUGAUGCAGCGACGCCGCGUGAGGGAUGACGGCCUUCGGGUUGUNAACCUCUUUCAGUAGGNAAGAAGCGAAAGUGACGGUACCUGCAGAAGAAGCACCGGCUAACUACGUGCCAGCAGCCGCGGUAAUACGUAGGGUGCGAGCGUUAUCCGGAAUUUAUGGGCGUAAAGAGCUCGUAGCGGUUUGUCGCGUCUGUCGUGAAAGUCCGGGGCUUAACCCCGGAUCUGCGGUGGGUACGGGCAGACUAGAGUGCAGUAGGGGAGACUGGAAUUCCUGGUGUAGCGGUGGAAUGCGCAGAUAUCAGGAGGAACACCGAUGGCGAAGGCAGGUCUCUGGGCUGUAACUGACGCUGAGGAGCGAAAGCAUGGGGAGCGAACAGGAUUAGAUACCCUGGUAGUCCAUGCCGUAAACGUUGGGCACUAGGUGUGGGGACCAUUCCACGGUUUCCGCGCCGCAGCUAACGCAUUAAGUGCCCCGCCUGGGGAGUACGGCCGCAAGGCUAAAACUCAAAGGAAUUGACGGGGGCCCGCACAAGCGGCGGAGCAUGCGGAUUAAUUCGAUGCAACGCGAAGAACCUUACCAAGGCUUGACAUGUUCUCGAUCGCCGUAGAGAUACGGUUUCCCCUUUGGGGCGGGUUCACAGGUGGUGCAUGGUUGUCGUCAGCUCGUGUCGUGAGAUGUUGGGUUAAGUCCCGCAACGAGCGCAACCCUCGUUCCAUGUUGCCAGCACGUAAUGGUGGGGACUCAUGGGAGACUGCCGGGGUCAACUCGGAGGAAGGUGAGGACGACGUCAAAUCAUCAUGCCCCUUAUGUCUUGGGCUUCACGCAUGCUACAAUGGCCGGUACAAUGGGUUGCGAUACUGUGAGGUGGAGCUAAUCCCAAAAAGCCGGUCUCAGUUCGGAUUGGGGUCUGCAACUCGACCCCAUGAAGUCGGAGUCGCUAGUAAUCGCAGAUCAGCAACGCUGCGGUGAAUACGUUCCCGGGCCU